GUUUUUUUCGGUUUUCUUGCUGAGAGUUCGUUUUCGCCAUUUCCAGUUUAUGCAAUUGAGUGUCAUUCACUCUAUCUUGGUAGUCCUCCUGCAUGGACUGAACCGCUUUUUUUAUGUUGGCCCCAUUGUCCGUUAUUAUGCAGCAUACUUUUCCUUUUAAAUUGAAAUUUUUUAUUUCAUUUUCAAUGGAAUUCGAAAUAGCUUCGAAAGUGUGACUACCUAGCAAAAGUAGAGUAAGGCAAAACUUUCUGUUAAAACCAGCUAUUGAACUACAUACCAGUAAUUCUUUUGCAACAUAUAGCCACGGUCUACCAGGAGAGGUAGACAAAUGCCCUAUCCCUUUCAUUAGCCAGAAUAAUGGAGGGACCUUGAAGGUUCCCUUAAAUUCCGCUUAGAACGCGAGCGAUAGGGAGACACAGAUUUGCACUGUGUUGUGUGUGACGCUUGUUGUCAGUGAAUGGCUCCCUUUUUCUGAUUUCAAUUUUUAGUUUAUUUGACUAAAUUAAUUUACGUUUAUCGUGGUGAUCAAAAUGGUUAAAAAGUGCUUUGUGGCCGCUGCUCUGAGGGGUAUUACUCAAAAAAGGUGAAAGUAACUCAAUUUCGAACUCCAAGAGACGAAAAACAAUUCAUUCUCUGGCAGAAAGCUAUUCCAAGAUCUGACAGAAAGUUAACAAAAAGGAUUGUGUAUGUGCAAACCACUUUGAAGAGAAAUAUUUAAUUAAAGUGAAAACCAUUCUCGAUCAAGUAUUUCCUCUGAAAAUUGAAUCUAUGCCUCCCUGACGCUCGCGCUCCAAGCGGAAUUUAAUGGAACCUUCAAGGUCACAUGUCUAGUCUGCUUACAUGGUGUUUGUCUACAUCUUCUGGUAGACCGUGAUAUAGCUUCAGAAUUUCUUGUUAGAGUUGUUUCUUCUAGCCAAAGAGCCGUGAUGCCGAUCCACGACCGAUGUGAUGUUGACCACAUAUCGGCCCCACAUAACAAAAUGCAGUCCGUCGGAUGUCCGACAGAUGUCGGGGUCGGAUGUUGAGUACAUCUUUUUUAUAUCCGCCGGACAGCCCGACAUCCGAUUUGGAUGUUCUAUGGAUGUAAUUUUAUUGUUUUUGACCGCCCUCAACAGCGCCGUCGGGCAUUCCAAAGAUAUCCGAACGGGCUUUAAUUUGGCUAUAAAUAUGACAUGUAUUGGUAAUGUAUGACAACAAUUAAAAGAAUGUCUGUGAAUUUGUGUACAGCAACAAUAAAAACAGAUUAAAUUCUUUCCAAAUUUAGUCCUUAUCAGUAAAAAGAUAUUCAAGUUUUUCUAAGAGCCGUAGUGCCAUAAGAAUGCACUAAAAAAACGGGGGUGUACCUAAUCGUUUGGUGGGUACCGUAGGCCUACAAUGACACAAGAUCGAAUGCCGAGCGUCAUUUCUGUAAAAAUUAAUCACCGAAAUUUUAUUUUCGAUUAUCGAGGACUUUCGAUAAUCGCCCGAAAAAUAAUCGAACGGCAAGUCUGAAUACGAACCUUUUUCACAUAUAAACUAUGACAACAGUGGAAAAACUUGGUUUUCGAAAUAAAUAACAUGAAAAUUA